rnacentral:lncRNA from 15 species
GAAGUGACACCUGAGCAAGUGGAUAAAUCAAACUGGUAACAUUUUCACUGUGAAUAUAAUGGAAUAACUACCAAUCACUGGAGGAAGUGGAGACUGGGAAUAUGGAGAGCUUUAACUACACAGGCGAAGGCGGACUUUCAUUCCAGUACUUGGUCCAUAAUGUGGAGCCACUUUAUACGGAGUACAAGCCUCCUCCCAGGGACCUCAUCCAGCUCCCUAAAUCAGUUCUCUACCUCGUGAUGGCCGCCCUGGUCGUUGUUGCUGUGGCUUACGCCAUCGUGGGUCACCUCAUUAAAGACCUCAUGCUGGAUAUAACAGACUGUUUGCUGGGCCCACCCGAUGAGGACAUGACAAAAGGCGGCGAGGGGGAAGGAGUCAGCCCUCUGCACAUACCACCUGCCCUUAGCCACUCCCACCCAAAUGCCUUCCAUGUGUGGGACCAGGACGAUGUCAUCAUCCCCAUGACUCCCCUGCAUGAUACCGAGCUGACCAGCCCUCUGAUGACCGUCAUCCCGUACAUCCCCUCAUUUUUCCCCACCUCCCUCAGUGUCAACACCCCGUCCUACAACCUGCCACUCCCAAAGGAGAGUGAUGCAUGAGGCAGCAUAAAAGGAUCCCAGACCAUUUUCACGUGGUGCAUCUCCUUUUAACACUCUUAUCCCCCAUCGCUUUGGUUUUCCUAUUUAGUUGAGCUUCUUUGGCUCCUUGUUUUCACCUCUGAAGCACAUUUUACCCCAAUCUACUUUGUGAAAAGUUGAACAAUUUCUGGGAAGAUCUCAUAAAAAUCAGCGAGUGUCGCUAAUCCAGCAAACUAUGCAUUAAGACUUUUGAUAUUUUCCACAUCUGACUGGAAUCAUACAUAAGCAGUGAUCAAGGCCAUUGUGAAUGUAUGGAUUUACUUCUGUUGGAGUUACUGAUACUUGACCAAGACAGAAACAAACAGCUAAUUUUCUCAGGAUCAGAGCCUGGGAAUGUCAGUGGGACGGCCUUCACUUAUUAAUUUUCCCUGUGGAUUUGUGCCAAUUUAGCAUCAUGAAUGUUCAUCCAUCCAUGCGGUUACAUUUGUUUUUAUGUAGGAUCCUAACCUGCUUCGACUAAUUUAUUGAACUUACUUAGUUUCAUGUUUUGGCCAUGACCGAGGGGGGGGGGGUUUAACUCCAGUGAACGACAGAUCCAGUCAAAGACUUAAAAAACUGUUUCACUGAGUGACUCUACAUUGUAUUAUACAGCAUAUUAUACAGUAUAAAUGACGCAGAGAGCAGUGUGCACAUUACAGGAGAGUGAAGUGUCUGUGAUGAGUUCUUGUGUAAAAUAAAGGUGGAUACUAUGCUAAGAUAAGUUUGCACUUUACACUUGUGUCUCAAUCUUCUGAUCCUAAAUAUAUUUCUGGUGCUGAGCAGGAUUGGCCCUAAGUUGCUAACUAAUAGGGUGAAGUUAAUUCAAUUAGUGGAGGUGACCUCUUUCAGAUGACCAUGUGAGGCCCUCUAAGGACAAGCACAGUAAAAUUAAACGAAAUAGAGAAAUAAUCGAGUAAUAAUAACUACAAUAAAUCCAGCAAUAAAAUCCUAUUCUUUAAGAAUCUGGGUAUUUGGGUAUGUGUUACACAGUUAAAAUGUGUUUAGGAUCUAACUGCAGCUCUCCCUACUUUUGCUUGUUGGCACCAAAAAUCAUCGACACUGUUACGCAACUCAGAAAGACAGAUUUCAGGGUCCAUUUUAAGCGGGAUAUUGGCUGAGAUGCAGAAAUCCUGGGAUAUUAAAAGCACAUGAAGGCUGUGGCAUCACACACACACAGACACACACACACACACACACACACACACACACAUUUGCACAGUAUCAGCACUUUUAUUAAUUUCAGAUUUUUUUUUCUCUGCCUGCAUCCACAACUAAAAAUUUGAUUAUUCUACCUUUACUGGCUCUCUCUGGACAAACAUCAGAGUAUUAACAUUGCCUUUUUUGUAUUAAAUAAUUUGGGGGAACUCUCAUUGAGCUAACAUUGCUCAUUCUAUCUGAAACCCAGAGUGCCUGUAUGCAGUCCGGGAUGGAGAUUAGGGAGAGAAGAUUAGAUGAGAAGCUUAGCCUUUAAUACAGCAUCCUUUUAUUACUUUUGAGCCCUGGAAUUAGAUAAUCGGACAGCAGCAGCCCAAUCUUAGUGGACAAACUUCAGAAACUUAUAUUGUUAUUCUGGUUGUGAGACAGAAUUCGUUGGAUCAGGUUGGGGUGUGCAGAGACAGCCAACAAUAGAGUCCCAAGAGGGAGGAGUGUUGUAGAUGUACUUCAAAGAAAGUUGUGGGGUGAAAGGAGUGAUGGAGUGUAAACAGACAGAAGGAGCAGGUAGAGAAGAGUAAUAACAGAUGGUGCUCUACCAGGUGAGCUACCAUGUCUAGAUGUUUAACUGUAGUGUACAGGAUAUGUAACAAUUCAUGAACAUGCCUAAAAUUAUAUUAACUCAGCAUUUUUUUAUGUAUUUUUAUUUUGCCAUUUCAUGUCUUUUUUUUAAUUUUUUAUUCCAAUACUGCUCAUGCUGCUAGACAACUUUCAGUCCAGUCUGAUCAAGCCUCACCCCCACACUCCUCACUAAACAAUACCUAAGGAUGUUUUCUCCUCUCAUUUUAAAUGUGAUUGUUGAAAGCCAAGUCAGGGGUUUUAACAAAUUCUUCUCACCCCUUCACCUCCUCUCUCUCUCCUUAUUUAAUAUACCAUUUUCUAAUUCUACUACCCAUUAGUUCUCAUGUAGGUACUUAUUCAGUUCUCUGAUAAAACAUGUCUUUGAAAUAACACAUGCACCUUUAUUUAAGGAGAUCAACAAAUUACAACUUGAAUGUAACUUUUUUUUAAAUGGCUUUUUCAGUCCUGACUUGAGGAGAUCUUAGUGCUCCAAACUCUGCGCUGACACUAUGGGAAGUGCACUGGUGGCACAGGUGAGAGGUGAAAGGUGGAGCCAAUUAAGACUUGAAGAAGAUUAGAUUGUGAUAAGGUGAUGGACCAGAAUAAACAUGUUGCUUUAACCAUGGGUAAUAAUAAUAAUAAUAAUAAUAAUAAUAAUAAUAAUAAUAAUAAUAAUUUCUAGUGUAGCUUCUGAAACUGGGUAUUUGGGGGCUUUUAUUGCCUUUUAUCGACAGAGGCAGCUGUGAAGUUAUUGAGAAGGGGGAUGACACACAACAAAGAGCCACAGGUUGGAGUCGGUCUCAGCCUUGGUACAUGGGGCAGCAGCUCUACCAGGUGAGCUAUCAGGGCACCUGGGUAUUUGUGUUGCAGGAUCCCACACUGUGCUAACUGACUUCAAGUCUAAAAGCUAUUUUUUCUGUAUUAAUAAAAAGCAACCUAGCAAGUUAUCAAAAGUUCUGUUUCCUUUUUUAAAAAUGAUGACACAAUACUUACCUAAGGCGAACGUCUUGUGAAAUUAUCCUUCAGUUUGUGCUCACUGGUGGCAAGAAACAUUUCAGUUGUUUGGAUUUUGAAGUGGAACAUGUGAGUGCAGUGCAGGAUUACUGCACUGCACUCACACAACAGUUUUGUUUGGCCACUUCUGAAACUCUACAGUACAUGGCUCCCACUAGGUUACAUGCUAGUCAACAGUGUCAGUAUCAGUAAAAUACACCCAAUACCUUGUUCUGCAUAUCUCUCUUGGUUAGUUUCAUGUGACCUUGCUCUUCUUUGUCAGUGCAGUUUUUCUUCCUGUUUCUUCGAUGGGAUGUGAGACGAUGUGAUUUGGCCUUGUUGGAGCUAUGUUGGGGUUCUUGUGCUACUGACAGGAAUAUGUUAUGACUUACUAAGUUAAAAUGGUGGACUCGUAUCCAAACAACUGCUUAUUUACACACCCAGCAAUUAUGGCGCAGCAUUAUCAUUUGUUUGCAGUUGUGUGUCUGGACAGCGGAUGAUUGUUCUCUGUUUUUGGUCUACCAGUUCAUGAGGGAAAUAUCUGUCUCUGUAGCUGCUAAAUGCUCCACUAAGUUCACCAGCUACUUUCUCACUGUGUCCGUCUGCUGUUUGGUGCUGAGCAGGUGGUGAACAAAGUGUACAGUGGGUAAACAAUGAACUGAAAGUGACUAUAAAGCUGAGGGAGCUGCAGAUUCAGGGGGUUCUCUGUAGGUUCAUCACAAAGUGCGACCCCCUAUAAUUUGAUUUUUAUUAACAAAAUAUAAAUGUUAGCGGCUUUAAUCAUACAUUUGAACUGUUUACUACUGGGAACCUCCUUGCCAAGAUCAACACAUACAAGAAUAAUUACUCUAAAGUCAGAUAGUGUCUAAUCAUCAAUCUGUCUGACACGAUUUGUAACCCUGUGAGGCUUAUUUUGGUCCGCAGCGAGUUUACGUCAGUCAGGGUUAAGUGGUCCUUACCUGUCCUUUAUCCUCAGGUGACAGCUUAUUCUUGGCCCAUUUCUUAUUGGCACUGACUCAGUUCUGUCAGUCUAGCUCUGUGUGACGAUGCAUGACACCAGUGGACUGUAACUCAUCCUAAUUGGAUCAGGACAACACACACUAAGAGUCAGUAACCCUAUAGUAGCCCAACAGGGGUUAGGACAAGCAACAUACACAGACAUGAUUGUUAUCACAUAAUACAGUAAGACAUUAAAGCAUGCCCUGGCCUGUUUGUUGGUUU